UAUUUUGUUCAAGUUGGUAGAGCAUGAGACUCUUAAUCACAGGGUUGUGGGUUCAAGUCCCACCCUGGUAAAAA